rnacentral:rRNA from 1 species
GAAGCGGUACCGGAAGGAGCCGUGGAGUGUAUGGAAGAGAGAAUGCCGGAAUGAGUAGCGAGAGAGAGGUGAGAAUCCUCUCGGCCGAAUAUCCAAGGUUUCCAGAGUAAAGCUGAUCUGCUCUGGGUAAGUCGGGGCCUAAGGCGAGGGCGAAAGCCUGAUCCAGCCAUGCCGCGUGUGUGAAGAAGGUCUUCGGAUUGUAAAGCACCUUAAGUUGGGAGGAAGGGCAUUAACCUAAUACGUUAGUGUUUGACGUUACCGACAGAAUAAGCACCGGCUAACUUCGUGCCAGCAGCCGCGGUAAUACGAAGGGUGCAAGCGUUAAUCGGAAUUGUCGACGCGGCCG